rnacentral:piRNA from 1 species
AUGGAUUGGGGGUGUGGAUGAGAAU